UCAAAAUUGUUUGGUAUUAAGUAAUACCUUACCACAAAUAGAUGUGGUGGACAUUAAUAAUAUUUUCAAUUCUAGAUUAGGUAAUUUGACAUAUGAUAAGUAUUUCUUAUCUAAUUUUUUAACUCGACAUUUAGCUAAAUGGCUAUACAAUUUUAUAGUUUUAAGACAAGCCAAAAAAUUGGCUAAGCCGACCACUGCUUUUAUUGAGCAGUGUUCUUAUUCUAACCAAUAUAUAACUGAGAGCUUGGAAUAUGAUCCAAAUAAUUUAAAUUAGAUUCUAGGACAACAGAGGCACACUCUAGCAUUGUGAUAAAAAAUAAUAAUAAUCGUACCAUGAA